CGAAUUCCUGAAAUUGUUUCACCGGCUUUCGGCUGAAGCGCCGGAGAAGACGAAAAUGACCGCCGGAUUGCUAUUCUCAGCUGUUCCGAUACCGUUCUUUCAGCUUCAGUCCACUGAUUAUAACAAUAUCCGUUCAACCGUGACGCGCAUGCGAAUUCAAAGCAUUCAAUCCAAAUUAGCUUACAGUACUACGCCACUCCCUUUCUUCUCUGUCAAGAAGACUCGUUCAAUUUCAGACUCGCCGCUCUUUUCUGUGACCUGUGUCUCUUCUUCACCUUCGCCUUCUCCCAGAAGAUACUCGCCUUCAACCAGGCUCUACGUUAGUGGACUUUCGUUUCGGACCACUGAAGAGAGUCUGCGAAAUGCUUUCACAAGCUUUGGCCAACUUGUAGAAGUCAAUUUGGUGAUGGAUAAAGUAGCCAAUAGACCCAGAGGAUUUGCGUUCCUCCGUUAUGCUACUGAAGAGGAGUCUCAAAAAGCUAUCGAGGGAAUGCACGGCAAGUUUCUGGAUGGCAGGGUAAUAUUUGUGGAAGUUGCAAAGUCCAAAUGGGAGCUUCGCCAAGGACUUAAAGAAAACUCUAGCCCAUAGAGAAAAUUGUUUCCCUGGUAUUCAUUUUUUAAAGUGCUGUACUUUCUCUUAGGAAAACAUAUAUAAUAUAUAUGGACAGGCUUUGCGUUAUUGUUAUUGAUGUGAGUAAGCUUUAUCUUGCCCGUAUGAUAUAUAGUCAGUGUGUUUCAGGAGUCAUAUUAUCUCUUGAAAUUAAUUGAUAUUAAUAUUGGAGAUUGGUCAAGUGGAUCAUCUAACCAAAUAUGAACUUCUGAGACAUGAGAUAUGGUCAAAGAUCACAGGUUGUAAAAGGGGACAAGAAUGCUGAAAUGAUGAAUAAUAUUCAGAUGGCCUUAGGGAUACCAGAGAGGACUUUUAGGGGUACUAGACAUGGACUCGUGAGAAUGUGGGACAUAAUUCGAUACAAGGAGAGGCCCACUGUCCCUUCUAAAUCUCCUUUUAGAAAAGUCUACUUAAGGACAAGUCAAUGAUUCCUCUUGGAGAUUGAGGGUCGUUCCCCCCUGUAAUCAUAGGAAGAUCGAAUAUUAGACUGUUCGAUUUUUUUAUGCCUUCAAAUUAGACUAUUUGCACCAGGGAGCUAAAUCAAGUUUCUUCAAAGAUAGGUUCACUCUUUUCUCUGAAGGAUCAAAAUUUGCAAGAAGAUCUACAAAUAUGUUAAGAAGUCAUAGAGCAACACCGUUUUGUUUUACAGAUUGAUUAAUUGUCACUCAAAUACCCAGGAAUAGACAGGAUAGAAGUUGUUGGGUAACCCCUUAUAGGCUUCGCCCCUCCUGCUACUUUAGAUAUUACAUGCUACAAGUUUGGCCUCCAUUUUUUUCAUCUCAAGCAAAAGA